rnacentral:rRNA from 1 species
UACGGGGGGAGCAAGCGUUGUUCGGAUUUACUGGGCGUAAAGGGCGCGUAGGCGGCCUGUGCAAGUCAGUUGUGAAAUCUCCGAGCUUAACUCGGAACGGUCAACUGAUACUGCUCGGCUAGAGUGCGGAAGGGGCAACUGGAAUUCUUGGUGUAGCGGUGAAAUGUGUAGAUAUCAAGAGGAACACCUGCGGCGAAGGCGGGUUGCUGGGCCGACACUGACGCUGAGGCGCGAAAGCUAGGGGAGCGAACGGG